UAAUAAACUAAAACUUUCAACAACGGAUCUCUUGGUUCUGGCAUCGAUGAAGAACGCAGCGAAAUGCGAUAAGUAAUGUGAAUUGCAGAAUUCAGUGAAUCAUCGAAUCUUUGAACGCACAUUGCGCCCCUUGGUAUUCCGAGGGGCAUGCCUGUUCGAGCGUCAUU
rnacentral:rRNA from 1 species